AAACCAGCACCUCAAGUGGUCAGGAGGAUUAUUGGGCCUAAAGCAUCCGUAGCCUGUUCUGUAAGUUUUCGGUUAAAUCCAUUAGCUCAACUAAUGGGCCGCCGAAAAUACUGUAGAACUAGGGAGUGGGAGAGGUAGACGGUAUUCGGUAGGAAGGGGUAAAAUCCUUUGAUCUAUUGAGGACCACCUGUGGCGAAGGCGGUCUACCAGAACACGUUCGACGGUGAGGGAUGAAAGCUGGGGGAGCAAACCAGAUUAGAUACCCGGGUAGUCC
rnacentral:rRNA from 1 species